rnacentral:ncRNA from 2 species
UUACGUGCUCCGGGGUCGGUGUAAUUCCGAACCGGCGGUCAUAGUCCGCGACCCGCGAGCCUUCGUUUCCGGCCAGGAAGCGGCGGCAAACGGUUGAACUGGUGGAAUUCCAGUACCGACAGUCAAAGUCUGGAUGGGAGAAGCACGUAC